rnacentral:rRNA from 1 species
GAGACAGCAGCAGCCACGGGAAUACGGAGGGUGCAAGCGUUAUCCGGAUUUAUUGGGUUUAAAGGGUCCGUAGGCGGAUCUGUAAGUCAGUGGUGAAAUCUCACAGCUUAACUGUGAAACUGCCAUUGAUACUGCAGGUCUUGAGUAAAUUUGAAGUGGCUGGAAUAAGUAGUGUAGCGGUGAAAUGCAUAGAUAUUACUUAGAACACCAAUUGCGAAGGCAGGUCACUAAGAUUUAACUGACGCUGAUGGACGAAAGCGUGGGGAGCGAACAGGAUUAGAUACCCCUGUAGUCCCUGUCUCUUAUAC